rnacentral:rRNA from 1 species
ACGGCGCGAUUCGCCCUUAGAGUUUGAUCCUGGCUCAGGAUGAACGCUGGCGGCGUGCCUAACACAUGCAAGUCGAGCGCGAUUAAAUGAAGUGGAGAGCUUGCUCAAAGUGACAUUUAUGAAAGCGGCGGACGGGUGAGUAACGCGUGGGCAACCUGCCCUGUGCAGAGGGAUAGCCACUGGAAACGGUGAUUAAUACCUCAUGGAGCUAUUGAACCGCAUGGUUUAAUGGUGAAAGUUCCGGCGGCACAGGAUGGGCCCGCGUCUGAUUAGCUAGUUGGUGAGGUAACGGCUCACCAAGGCGACGAUCAGUAGCCGACCUGAGAGGGUGAACGGCCACACUGGAACUGAGACACGGUCCAGACUCCUACGGGAGGCAGCAGUGGGGAAUAUUGCACAAUGGGCGCAAGCCUGAUGCAGCAACGCCGCGUGAGUGAAGAAGGCUUUCGGGUCGUAAAGCUCUGUCCUAGGGGAAGAAUAAAUGACGGUACCCUGGGAGGAAGCCCCGGCUAACUACGUGCCAGCAGCCGCGGUAAUACGUAGGGGGCAAGCGUUAUCCGGAAUCACUGGGCGUAAAGGGUGCGUAGGUGGUUCGACAAGUCAGAAGUGAAAGGCUACGGCUUAACCGUGGUAAGCUUUUGAAACUGUUGAACUUGAGUGCAGGAGAGGUAAGUGGAAUUCCUAGUGUAGCGGUGAAAUGCGUAGAUAUUAGGAGGAACACCAGUGGCGAAGGCGACUUACUGGACUGUAACUGACACUGAGGCACGAAAGCGUGGGGAGCAAACAGGAUUAGAUACCCUGGUAGUCC